AACUUUCGACAACGGAUCACUUGGCUCUCGCAUCGAUGAAGAACGCAGCGAAAUGCGAUAAGUAAUGUGAAUUGCAGAAUUCAGUGAAUCAUCGCAUCUUUGAACGCACCUUGCGCCCCUCGGUUAUUCCUUUUGGCAUGCCUGUUUGAGUAUCAUGAACACAUCAACUCUCACUGUCUUCCGUGACGAGCUUGGUCUUUUGGGGUUUGCUGGCCCUGCGGCAGGCCCCUCUCAAACAAAUCAGCUUGCCAGUGUUUGGCGGCAUCUCACGGGUGUGACAACUAUCUAAGCUCGUGGCUGUCUGCCAGGUAACCCUCAGCGAUGAAGGUUCAUUGGGGCUCAUAAACGUCUCUCCUCGGCGAGGACAGCUUUUGAACGUUCGAUCUCAAAUCAGGUAGGACUACCCGCUGAACUUAAGCAUAUCAAUAAGCGGAGGCU
rnacentral:misc_RNA from 1 species